rnacentral:lncRNA from 1 species
GGAAUUUACACUCAUGGUAAAUGUGUUUCAAUUUUUCUUUAUUUCUCUCCAGAAUGACUUCCAGUAACUGUAGACGCUGAUGAUCAAAUGGUACACAUGGGCAGUUAAAGAUUUUUGCAAAGGAAGGCUGCAUAAAUUUAAGGAUAUAUUAUUGUCUCUGCCUUAUGGUUGAUCAGACUGAGGUACCGAGAAGAGGUACCAUGACCUCCCAUCUUCUGCUAGCAGGCGUUUACUGAUUGCCCGUAUUGGCCCUGAGCAUGCUGCAAAGGCCCUGGUUACUGCCCUCUGGUGCUCCAUUCCACACAGGGAGGCUGACACUAAGCAUCUAAUUACAAAUUGAAGGUAUGUAAUUUUCAGGUUGUUGUGUGCUGUGCCGAAUUGCAG